AGCGGCCAAAGCGAGCGGGGCGGUGCCUGUGGAAUCACCUCGGCAGCGCGGCCAGCCCCGCUCCCUCUCUGCUCCGCUGCCGUGAGGGCUCUGUGCUGCGGGCAGCGCGGCUCCCUCGCCGCGAGGCGCCGCCGCCAUGAGGCCUUCAGCCGAUGGGGGGUCGCGGGACCGCCGCUGUGGGCGGCCGGGAGCAGCCCGGCGGUGCCCGAUCCCGCCGUGAGUGAAUCGCCCGAGCUGUGCCGGGCUGGGACAGCCAGGGAGACUCCCCAGGGGCCGCAGGAGCCUGCCGAGAGGAGAUGUGAAGGGAUAACCUGCCCGUGAGACACAGGGAGAGAGCUCUGGAGCCACGUGGGUGAGGUAAUUUGUUGCUGUGGGGCUUGCCGGAGCAGGAGUGGUCAGAAGCAAAGCUGUCGAUGCUGCUUUAAAGAUCCUUGUUUGAAAGGUAUUCAGAAGAUGGAAACCUGGAGCCCACAGUUUAAACGGGGCAACUGGAGAAUUUGUUUUCAGUAUGUGGAUGUAGGAAUUGGAAACAUCAAAGAUGAUUUGGGGCAAGGUAUAACAAGAUUUAUGUGUGCAAUUUAUUGUUAAUCUCCUCUCAUUGCUUGUUGGAAAUACAUUUUUAUAUUACUUCAAUUAAACGUAUUUAUAUUUAAGCUUGCUCA